rnacentral:rRNA from 2 species
GCGGCGUGCCUAUACAUGCAGUCGAACGAACUCUGGUAUUGAUUGGUGCUUGCAUCAUGAUUUACAUUUGAGUGAGUGGCGAACUGGUGAGUAACACGUGGGAAACCUGCCCAGAAGCGGGGGAUAACACCUGGAAACAGAUGCUAAUACCGCAUAACAACUUGGACCGCAUGGUCCGAGUUUGAAAGAUGGCUUCGGCUAUCACUUUUGGAUGGUCCCGCGGCGUAUUAGCUAGAUGGUGAGGUAACGGCUCACCAUGGCAAUGAUACGUAGCCGACCUGAGAGGGUAAUCGGCCACAUUGGGACUGAGACACGGCCCAAACUCCUACGGGAGGCAGCAGUAGGGAAUCUUCCACAAUGGACGAAAGUCUGAUGGAGCAACGCCGCGUGAGUGAAGAAGGGUUUCGGCUCGUAAAACUCUGUUGUUAAAGAAGAACAUAUCUGAGAGUAACUGUUCAGGUAUUGACGGUAUUUAACCAGAAAGCCACGGCUAACUACGUGCCAGCAGCCGCGGUAAUACGUAGGUGGCAAGCGUUGUCCGGAUUUAUUGGGCGUAAAGCGAGCGCAGGCGGUUUUUUAAGUCUGAUGUGAAAGCCUUCGGCUCAACCGAAGAAGUGCAUCGGAAACUGGGAAACUUGAGUGCAGAAGAGGACAGUGGAACUCCAUGUGUAGCGGUGAAAUGCGUAGAUAUAUGGAAGAACACCAGUGGCGAAGGCGGCUGUCUGGUCUGUAACUGACGCUGAGGCUCGAAAGUAUGGGUAGCAAACAGGAUUAGAUACCCUGGUAGUCCAUACCGUAAACGAUGAAUGCUAAGUGUUGGAGGGUUUCCGCCCUUCAGUGCUGCAGCUAACGCAUUAAGCAUUCCGCCUGGGGAGUACGGCCGCAAGGCUGAAACUCAAAGGAAUUGACGGGGGCCCGCACAAGCGGUGGAGCAUGUGGUUUAAUUCGAAGCUACGCGAAGAACCUUACCAGGUCUUGACAUACUAUGCAAAUCUAAGAGAUUAGACGUUCCCUUCGGGGACAUGGAUACAGGUGGUGCAUGGUUGUCGUCAGCUCGUGUCGUGAGAUGUUUGGGUUAAGUCCCGCAACGAGCGCAACCCUUAUUAUCAGUUGCCAGCAUUAAGUUGGGCACUCUGGUGAGACUGCCGUGACAAACCGGAGGAAAAGGGGGGGGAAUAACGUCAAAUCAUCAUGGCCCCUUAUGACCUGGGGCUACACACGGGCUACAAUGGGAGGUUACA